rnacentral:piRNA from 1 species
ACAGGUAGGUUGAAGUCAAAACACAGA